UACGGAGGAUGCAAGCGUUAUCCGGAUUUAUUGGGUUUAAAGGGUGCGCAGGUUGUUUGAUAAGUCAGUGGUGAAAGUCUGUCGCUUAACGGUAGGAUUGCCAUUGAUACUGUUAGACUUGAAUAUGGAUGAGGUAGGCGGAAUGUGUAGUGUAGCGGUGAAAUGCAUAGAUAUUACACAGAACACCGGUUGCGAAGGCAGCUUACUAAUCCAUCAUUGACGCUGAGGCACGAAAGCGUGGGGAUCAAACAGGA
rnacentral:rRNA from 1 species